UACGGAGGGGGCUAGCAUUGUCCGAAGUUACUGGGCGUAAAGCGCGCGUAGGCGGGUUGGUAAGUCCGCUGUGAAAGCCCGGAGCUUAACUCCGGAGGGUCGGUGGAUACUGCCAGUCUUGAAGGUGCUAGGGGGAGAUGGAAUUACCGGUGUAGCGGUGAAAUGCGUAGAUAUCGGUAGGAACACCAGUGGCGAAGGCGGUCUCCUGGGGCAUUCUUGACGCUGAGGCGCGAAAGCUGGGGGAGCAAACGGG
rnacentral:rRNA from 1 species